CACCUUUAUGAGUAGCACCCAAUCUUCUCAGAUAUUCAAGCCCCUUCUUUUCUCGUGCUUUCUUUGGCGUGUUUCCACAUCAGGGCCUCUGUCUUUAUGCUUCUAUGCUUCAUGUUGCUUUAAACUCCUCCUUCUCGUUCUUCAGGACUUAGUUAACUGUUGCCCCCAUGGCGAUGCCACCUCUGAACAACUCUUCUGUAAACCUCAACAUCCCCCUGUUCCUGGGGAUAGCAAUAGUUUGCCAGGGGCUACUCUUCGGGCUUUGCAUUCAUUAACUUUUAAUUUUUCCCAAGCUCAGGAGGUAUAGAUACUGUUUUUAAAUGAUAACACCCAUCUUAGGAACUGAGUAACAGUUCCCAUCAGGUAACUGAGUGUAAAGAGAAAAAUGGCUGGCCAGGCCAUUAGAGCAGGUGGCUUCAAAGUUUCACCCUGUGCUUCCAGUUCUAGUCAAGACUCUUGACCACUCAGUCAGCCAGAGUCUCUUGAUGACCUGCUUGUUUCCUCUCUGCUCUUCUCAUGUCUGGACAGUGCUCUUUACAAAGGUUUCUGUACUGUCAGCCUUGUCACUGGGAAGCAAGCAACACGUAUGUGAGUAGAGACUAUUCUUCCAUUGGAAGAAAUUAAAGUGUUUAUAUCAAUGGCUAUUCUUCUUUUAUUACCCAGACUUGAUCUACAUCUCUAUGGCCACAGAUGAUAUGAAAACCUCUUU
rnacentral:lncRNA from 1 species